rnacentral:rRNA from 1 species
AGCUCCAAUAGUGUAUAUUAAAGUUGCUGCAGUUAUAAAGCUCGUAGUUGGAUUUCUGGGGCCGUGAGUGGUUGUGCGGUUACGACUGCUAUCUGCUCUCUGCCUCAUCCAUCUGUCAACGUUGUCCGGAAUUCAUUUUUCGGCUUCGGGCCCAGGUACCUUACCUUACUUUUACGAAAUAAUUAUAGUGUUUCAGGCAGGCGUGGCCGGAAUACAUUAGCAUGGAAUAAGCUCAAAGGACCGCUCUCCUUGUUUGUUGGUUUAGAGGAUGCGGUAAUGAUUAAUAGGGAUAUAUCUUUUUGAGGAGGCAUUAGUAUUUAAUUUCCAGAGGUGAAAUUCUUUGAAAUUUAUUUAAAGACUAACUUAUGCGAAAGCAUUUGCCAAGAAUGUUUUCAUUAAU